AUGAUGUGUGAAAAAUCAUGAUACAUACUAUACAAUCUCAGUCCCAUAAAAGUGGAUGUUGUGCCUACCGACACACAGGACCUAGAAGAACGUGUCAAACUAUAAACUGCUUGUGUUUGUGACUUUGUUCUUUGCUUCCUGUGUUUUUCAGUUUCCUCUAAUGUACUUAACUUUUUAAAAGUAAAGGUUAUUUUAAAAACAUGUAUUAAGCCCUUGUUGCUUGUAGAAUAAAGUUUGUAUACUCCACAG